GUCAUCCGCGUCAGACGCGCUCCGGCUGAUGGGGCUGCCAGCGCUGCACGUGUGCCAGAGAGCUGUGGAGGUGAAUCAGACUGCAAAAAGGACCUUGCUCUUCCGUCCACAGGAAGAGAUGAGGAAGUCAGAGCCAUCCUGCUGGACAGCUUUCCUUUCAUCUCACUUCAUUCCCAUUCCUGCAGUCUCUGGAUGGUUCGAUGUAGCCACAGCUCUCUGACCCAACACAUCCGUGUCGCAGUGCCUUCUCCACGCCGAUCCCAACGCCAAGCCAAGCCUCGCUGUGAUGGAGGUUGGAAACGUUACCAAAGCUCGUGGACCAGCAGUGAAUAAUGUCAACCAGAGAUCUGGCUCACAAAGUUCUUAGUGCCUUCAAGCUAGCAAGGCCAAAGGGUAAGCAAGCGGUGUUUUGCAGUCCCUGUGGAUACACAAAACAUGGGAAAUUAAGGACAGAACAGCCUGGGCUUUGCCAAAGACUCAGCCAAAAAAAAAAAAAGCCAUGCAAAGGCGUGCAAGACAACAGAGGAAGCUUGCUGAGCUUCCCAAAGCCAGCUGCACUCCAGCUUUCCAAGCUGCACGAGUCCACCCCAAGCCCCAGGAGCACCCGCCUUGCCUGGGAGUACGUGUCAUGUUAUCCAGAUGUUGGAAGUCUUACUUUAAGCACAUGUGACCCAGUGUGCUUGCAACAAGCUUCCACUGCCAGUUCACUCUUUGCUUGUUUCCAAGUGUGUGAAUUCCUCUUUUAGCCUGUGGUUUCUGCUGAAGAAGCAGAUAAAUUAUGGCUAUCCAGCUAUGGAAUGGCUGGAUGAGAGGGAGGUAGGCACAUAGGACAUACAGGGCAAUGGUUGAUGGCUGUUUGGCUUCAUUCACACAAGGGCUGGAGCCUCCUUUCCCAGAUCUCAGAACUUGUUUGCUGAUGCUCACUCUCUCCCGGCCCUCUUCCAGCCCCACAGUGCUGCAUAAACCUUGGCGUGGGGUGGGGCACCAGCAGCUCGCCAAUGCCAAAACAAGGACCAUGUUGCAGCAGCAGGAGGGGACCCAGGCCAGCUGCAGACCUCUGUCCCAACCCCAUCUGAGUCUCCCACUGCCUCUGGGUGUUGGCUCCACAUCUGAAGCAGGCACAGCUUGCCCUCACUCUCCAUCCCACCCGUCUGGAAUCAAGGCCACUUGCACGAGGACUUCCUUUACACUGGCUUCUUGUGCCUGGAGGCUGGGACAGCGGGGAAGCCGGGGGGACCAGGGAGAAACCACCCUCAGUCACUGAAAACAGAACUCUUAAAAAAAUACAGCUUUGAAGUAACCCAGCCCUAGAAGCAGAAGUUUUCACGUGUAUGGUCAAUGCAGGAAAGAAUGCAAGUUCACUUCCAAGGUUUACUGCAAAGAAAGUAGUAAACAGAAAGGCUUACAGCACCUUAGAAGUUAUACAGCUCCCUUCUUCAUCUCCAGCACUUGAAGAUGAUUUCCCCACAUGUCCCUUAAUAUCCACCCUCUCCCACCUUCUUUUUGGCCCAGGCUGGUCAGGAAGACCUCAGGCAAAUGGUGCCAAAGCGAACUCGUCAUAUUUGGGGAGUGAGCAGUUGGAAGGAAAAGUCACCCUGCUGUAGCCUGGCUGUGAGCCUGGCCCUGCCCGUGGGUCCUCAGGAAUGCUGUAGCAGAAAGGUGGUGCCUGCAGGAAAAUUCUUCAGUGCUAUGGUGAGAUGACCUCGGGACUGGAGUCAAACAGUGGCUCGGUGGCUACACAGGCUGCCUUUUGGAUAGGCUACAGAGGGUCAGGAGGGCUUUGUUGCUUGAUAAAUGCAGUUCAGGUCCCAGAUAGCUCUGCCCAACAGCUGUGAGCCGGCCUGCUUUCUUCAGGAUGCUCAGUGAUUGCCAGCAUUUGGAAGAAUGAAACUUUGGUGUGUCUGUGUGUGCGGCUGCAAUGCUGAUUUAUUGUAUCUCCUUUCUGACUCUGGUCUGGGACUGCCCUUCUGCCAAAUGAUCCAGGGGCAGCAUGGAAUGGGACAGCUCCACAGCACUGGCACCAGCUUCCAGACACCCUGAGCUGUGCAAACCCAAGGACAGGUGAUGAUGAUGAUGAUGAGAAGCCUUGAGCCAGGGCAGCUCACAGGAGAAUAUUUUUCUGUUCCCCUCACAGGAUAUGAACCACACAUGGAAGUCUCACGCUUUGUAAAAGGAAAGAGAAACCAGAGGGACUCCAGCAGUUAUACAACAUGCAGAAGCUGUUUGAGAGCUGCCUCCUAAAGGAUUAGCUACAAAUCCUUCCUCUCUUUACAGCUGUAGCCUUGUGUCUGUGUGCAUCCUGUGAAGCAGUGUAGAAAUGAAUAAAUAAAAAGGACAGCAUUAAGUAACACAGGAACACUCGUGUCCAUGUGGUAUUGCCUGCAUCAUCCAGAUGGAAAGUAUCUGUCUAGACAAAUCUGGGAAUUAUGCAAGCUCAGAAUUCCUGAAUAGCUCUUCAGUUCCAAUAUCGUGGAACAUUUGCAGUACCCACAGAAAAUAGGCACAGAAACAUGGGGGGAAAGAAACCCUUCAAUUCCAACAGCCAGGAUACCUAAAUACUAGUGAUGUGUUGGAUGAGAGAAGGAGGAAAUGCAGGAAUAUGGAGCAAUGUCCUUGCUGUGUGCAUGCUGACUCAUCCCCGAGGAGUCAGGAUCAUCCCUGGUGCUCACUCCUGUCUCAGCAGAAGUGGAGCAGGCUCCUUUGAGCUUCUUGUGGUUCUCUGCUGCCUGAUGCCCUGGACAAGGCACAGAGAUGCUUGUUUCCACUGCUCCGGAGCUGUUUGUUUCCACGGUGCUCAGACAAGCAGAAGGAAUGAAAACAAAGAGGGAAAGAUGGGCUGUCCUGGUGCAAACCACAACAGCAUAAAAAUAAAUCACUCUUGGCCUGGGAGAGCAAAAAAUAGAAGCAGGACAGAAAACACGGAAUUCCCGCUCUGGACCAGGAGCUGCUGCUGACUCUGAGCAGUGCCCAGGGAUCACCGGGGCUGGGAGCUUAGCACAACUCUAGAGUUGUAGUGACCCUUUUUGGUGUUCUUGGGAAACAACGGCCCGGCCAGAGGAGACAGAAGAACGGAGCAGUCAGGAGCUCUGCCUGCAGAGCAGCACAACCCAGGGAGAGGAUGGCACAAUUCCCAGUAGUAUAUAGAGAAACGUAAGUUUUAAAAAAGCAGAGGUCGUGAUCCAGCAGUCAUCCAGUUUGUGACAGUUUUAUCACUGGCUCCAGGGGGACAGGUUCAAACCUUCCGAGGGUGCAUCCAAACGGAAACGUCGCUCUGGAGGAAAAGGGGCUCACGUUUAUCCAUCUGGCCUGGCCCCUCCAGUGCUGCAAAGGACAGUGAGAGACAGCAUUGUGUCAAUUCUGCCCUCCCUUUCUUCCUAGCGAAGAAAGAGUAAAGAGCAACUGUGGGACUGAGUGGUAAAACAAGUGCUUGUUUUGCCACUGCUGUACCACUGUUUGGGGGCAAUCAGGGCAAUAUUUAUGCAGGGCUGCAGCAGGACAUCAUGCCCGAGCCACCGUUGGAUCAGCAGCCCAGAAAGCAGAUGUGCCAAUUUCCUGUCCUUGAUGAUGAUGGGCCCUAAUUACGCCAGAGCUGUGGCGAUGUCCUUUCUUGUGUAUGACCCCUAAUUUGGUUUCAUGAAGUCAUCUGUGCCAGGUUCUUCCGGCUGCAAGGCUGGGCCCCUGCUCUUGGCUGCAACACCGUUCUGCUGCCCUGUGUAAUUUCAGGUCAGUGAAGAUUUCUACACCAAACUCCAGCUAGACCAUCUAGAGGAUGUGCUUGGGGAAACGCCACAUUCAGAAGGAUUUUGUGCUCCUGCCUUCACAAGAGCCAUCAGAACCAGCUGCACUUCGGAGAAUGAGCCAGAGUCACCCUGGGCUUGGAAAGCUGCUGGGGAAAGCUCAAGGGUUUCAAAAUGGUGCUGGAUCUCAUAAAAGGAAGUCUGAUGGAUUCAGCAGAGUUCAUACAAACACCCCAGGAAGAACAGGAGGAAAAUAACCCAGCAGCUCAUGUGCAGGCAAUCAGAGGUUAAGAGUCAGGCCAGCCACCCCUGGCACAUGGAUAAAUCUUCGUCCCGAGCUCAUCAAAUCCCCAGCCUGCUCGUUCAAGAGGGAUUCGCAGGAGGUAAUACAAGAGUGACCUUUGCUCUGCCAUAAAUGCGGGUGCACGUGAACCAGCUCAAUCAGCAGAGGCUUUGUUUUGGCUCCCUUCACCUGGGGUAGUUUGUCUCACCCAGCAGCUGCGAGAUCACUGCAGCAUCCUGGCAGCACCAUGUGAGGUGCCUGCCUUUCCCUGUCCCCUCUUUUGUCACUCCUUCAGGUGGCUUUUCCAAGGUCCUUUUGACCUUGUGGGGCUGCUUUUCCCUCUCCCCAUGACUUCCUAUCUUUCCAAGUACUUUGUAAUCUUGACAAUGUUGAUUUUUACUGCAGUAAGGGGAAAACGUGGCUUUUCUUUUGAUAGCCAGAUUGCAUGUUUGUUUGUUCUUUUAUUUUUGGCUUCUUAGAGCUUUUUGCCACUUUUCACUUUCUAAUUGUCUCUUUUUCUAAUCCAGGCACUUAUGCUCAAAGCCAACAUUUCUUAUGGCAACUUUUUAUCACCUGCUGGCUAGAACAGAACAGAAAAAAAACAGAUUCUGGCUGAAGGACCUACAAAAGUAGUAAAACAUAAAGGCUUGUUUUAAGGAUUUCUUCUUUGAUAGAAUAGAAAAAAUGCAGUGUUUAGAGGUGAAAGACCUGGCUGCAUGCAGAGGCCUGGCCUGAGCUUUAGAACAGAGUAUCUCUAACUUGAGAGAAGGCAAGUGGGAUCCCAGUUUAUGUCGCAGGGGGAAAAAACCUACCAAAAAGGAAUUGCUUGGGCACCCAGAUGGUUUGCAGCUCUGGAUAAUGCAUUGGGGGCUGGCAGGAGACAGGAGGUAAUGAGCAGGUCUGAUGGGCAAGGCAAAUCGAGCAGAGGAGAGGUGGUGGUGGGCACAGGACCCUGGUGAGGGAGGUUGUGCCUGCUGAAAUGGGACGCUGCAGUGCAAGACUGGCAAAAAAAGGAACAGCAGUCCUUGAUCUCUUGGGAAAAAGGCAUCUGUGUGUCUUGAAUAACACUCAUGUCAUGUCUGGAGAUGGCUCAAUUUUUUCAGGACCCUGUAGAGUCCCUGACUAUUUUGCUGAGACUGUGUGCAGGGAGCUACAGCUUCAUUGUUGUUUUUAACAUUAGUUAAGCAAUAGGCUGGAAAACCCACGUGUUUCUCGGAGGCACUGGUAUCCAGCCCCUCAUCCGAGGUUUGCCUGGUCCCCGAUGUCACCAGGAGCUGCGGGACGCUGAGUGCCAGCUCAGGGGGAUGUACAGGAGCGCUGCCUCCGGGGCAGGAGCAAGCUGCAGAGUGACCUGUGAGUGGGCUUGUCCCCAGUCUCUGUGGACACUGACAAACAGAAAGACAGAGGCAAUGGUGGCAACAGGUAAUGUUAAAAUGUUUGCUGUGAAUGUUGAGGCUUAAUGCUAAACAGCAACAUUUCAGAAUCCCUCAGCACAGCAAGACCCCAGGCAUAGAUGACAAGCUCUCUGCGAAUGAGGAGCACCCGGAGUAGCACUGUCAGAGGUGGUUAAUGGAAUUGGGUGUUGAUCCCUGUUUACCUGCUGGUGGUGGCUCUGGAAGGAGGGCUUCUUCCUUUGCUGGUGGGGUCUAAAGCCUUUAGCGAUGCACAAGCGCUCCACGUGAGCCCUGUGCACUGCCCCAACACCUCGGUGUUGGUGCUGCCAGCCCUUCUGGGAGCCCCCAGCCAUGGGCCAUCCCCUUUGUGCGUGGCUGCCUGCCAAGCCCCAGCUCACCAGGACCCAUGCCAGCCCAGGUCAGAGUUGGGCAUCCACCUUGGAUCACAUGUCUGGAACCUUCUCUUAGCAUUCCUGAGGGCCUGUUCACAAAAGCUUUGUCCGCCUGCUUCCUUGCAGUAGCCCGUGAGCAGGGCCAACCCACCCAUGUUCCCUGGGAGGUUAUUCCCGGCUGAACAAGCUUUGCUCCAUGGAACUGAUCUGCUGAAGUGCACUUGCCUUCCUCGCCAUCAUUCCACUAGGCAGGCUGCAGAGAUAACGUCCGUCUUUGUUCUGAUGUGAGACCCUUGCGUAGACAUUUGCUGUUUGAGGCCAACCAACUAACCAGAACAGAGACAAACCCAGCGCAGAAACAGAAGGUGGAUAAGGCUCAGUCCAGAAUGCAGCCGGAGCAGAACGACUUCCUGGGGAGGAACAAGUACCUUCCCGGAGCUUCUGAGCAGAGGAAAAUGGAGCCUCUCUUCACGGAGAACGAUGUUUGUAGCAGUGCCAAGCAGGUGCUCCUGCCCUCCACCUCUGUUCUCCACAUCUCUGGGCGGCUGUCCAGGCUGCAGCAGGUAGACCCUCAGAGGGAAGGGAAGGAGGUCUGAGCCACGCUGCCCCCUGAGCAGCGUGGAAAGGAGCCAUCCCUGAAGCAGGAUUGCCUCUGAGCUGGCAGCAGACGAGUGAUUGGCAUUGGGCAGCGCUGCUGAGACUCUGGCAGGCCGUUUAGCAGAGAACCUUGGCUAAUGAAUGUCAUCCACACCUAGCAGAUGUGCCACUGCCUGCCAUGCCAGAUUUUUGACAUAAUACAGGGCUGCUGGACACAACAGUGCUCAGGAAAAGCCGGGGAGCGACUCGUGCCUUCAACGUGGCGCUUGGUUCCACUCGUGCUCUGUGAGAGAAAUGAAACCUGCGGGGGGGAGGGAAGCACGUCCGCGUCUCCCGGUCCCCGACCCUGCUUUUAUCGGUUCCCCGUGCUUCCAGCCCCGGCUCUCGCUGGGCCUUCCAGCCUCCCGGCGGGUCCCAAGCCGGGGAACCGAGCAGGGGGCUCAGUGCCCCCCGGGAGCUGAGAUGGCUGCGGGCAGGUGCCUGGCACCUGCAUCUCGCCGCCGGCAGCAUCCCGGGCUUCGUCUUUCCUCUCCUGCCCUCCAUCGGAGGGAAGCCGCAUUCGCCGGGCACAGCGGGGGGCCAGGGGGGGAGACCGGCUCCCCGGGAGCCCCGAACCCCUCCGGCUUUCCGGGACUCCCCCUCACCCCGCCCGGAGCGGGAGCGGGGACGGGGCCGCCUCCUAAUCCCGGCCUAAUCCCGGAGAGCGGCAGCAGAGCGGGCGGCCGCUA